CGGCGGACGGGUGGGUAAUGCCUAGGAAUCUGCCUGGUAGUGGGGGACAACGUUUCGAAAGUAACGCUAAUACCGCAUACGUCCUACGGGAGAAAGCAGGGGACCUUCGGGCCUUGCGCUAUCAGAUGAGCCUAGGUCGGAUUAGCUAGUUGGUGAGGUAAUGGCUCACCAAGGCGACGAUCCGUAACUGGUCUGAGAGGAUGAUCAGUCACACUGGAACUGAGACACGGCCCAGACUCCUACGGGAGGCAGCAGCC
rnacentral:rRNA from 1 species